rnacentral:rRNA from 1 species
UACGAGAGGCCCAAACGUUAUUCGGAUUUACUGGGCUUAAAGAGUUUGUAGGCGGUUCGGUAAGUGAGAUGUGAAAGCCCUCGGCUCAACCGAGGAAUUGCGUUUCAAACUGCCGGGCUCGAGGGAGAUAGAGGUGAGCGGAACUGAUGGUGGAGCGGUGAAAUGCGUUGAUAUCAUCAGGAACACCAGAGGCGAAGGCGGCUCACUGGGUCUCUUCUGACGCUGAGAAACGAAAGCUAGGGGAGCAAAC